GUUGGAGAAUUGUUACUGAAAAGAGAUCCAUUUGGUGGAAUGUAAUAAUAAAGAAUAAGUCAGGAGAAAAUCUCUAAAUGCAAGUACCAGAAAAAUUAAAACACAUCUCAGUGGAUUUGCAAGUGAGUUUUCCUUCCUUGUGGACUAUUAACAGAACUGCAAAAUGUGUCUCCAGAGUCACUUUGUUGUUGAUCCACAUGGUUGGUGCUGCAUGGGUUUGAUUGUCUUUGUCUGCUUAUACAAUAUUGUUUUAAUUCCCAAAAUUGUCCUCUUUCCUCACUAUGAAGAAGGACAUAUUCCAGGCAUAUUAAUAAUAAUAUUCUAUGGCAUUACCAUAUUUUGUCUGAUUGCCUUAGUAAGGGCCUCAAUUACUGAUCCAGGAAGACUCCCUGAGAACCUUAAGAUUCCACAUGGAGAAAGGGAGUUCUGGGAAUUAUGUAACAAGUGUAAUUAGAUGAGACCAAAGUGUUGGCAUCACUGUAGCUGCUGUGGUCACUGUGUAAGGAGAAUGGAUCAUCACAGUCCAUGGAUUAACAAUUGUGUUGAUGAAGAUAAUCACUGGUUUUUUCUGCAGUUGUGUUUCUACACUGAACUUCUUACUUGCUACACACUGAUGUCUUCUUUCUGCCACUAUUAUUAUUUCCUUCCACUAAAAUUAAGCUUAACUUGGUAA